rnacentral:misc_RNA from 1 species
UCUCCGUUGGUGAACCAGCGGAGGGAUCAUUACCGAGUUUACAACUCCCAAACCCAAUGUGAACGUUACCAAACUGUUGCCUCGGCGGGGUCACGCCCCGGGUGCGUCGCAGCCCCGGAACCAGGCGCCCGCCGGAGGAACCAACCAAACUCUUUCUGUAGUCCCCUCGCGGACGUUAUUUCUUACAGCUCUGAGCAAAAAUUCAAAAUGAAUCAAAACUUUCAACAACGGAUCUCCUGGUUCUGGUAUCGAUGAAGAACGCAGC